rnacentral:lncRNA from 1 species
AAAACAACAACAAAAAUACUAAGCCUUUGGGAUCAGACUCACGCUCGCACGAAAAACGGGUAGAUCAGCCUAUGUUUUUCUACUACGAAUGCUAUUUACAUAGGGAAGUUUUGCCUCGUAAAAGUUUCGUGAAAAGUUUUCCAUUGACCAUGGUGAUUAACAACGUACCUUUGUCAGGCUGAAUAUCUUCAUCCACGAAGACAUCAUUAUCAUCAAGACGGUUUGGGUUUCCUCCUCCAUCCGUUCCCAUCGCGACUCUCCGCCGUCUUCGGGCCGCUACUGUCGUCGUUGCAAUAGCGAUCAAAUAUAGCAGCAAAAGUGACAAGGCUAACAACGCCAAUAUAGGCAAGAGGUCGUCCUUUUUGUCGCAACAACCAUAACUACUUCCACCGCCAUAACUACUCCCACCGCCAUAACUACUCCCACCGCCGUAACUACUCCCACCACCGUAACCAGAGGACGAAGAAUAGCCACCGCCGUAACCACUUCGAUCGGGUUGCAUCUCUUCUGGAUAUUUGUUGUACUGAUUGUACAUUGGAGGACGCCUGCCAGCACCUCGUUUUCUGCUUUCACCGAACAUUUCUCUGGCCAUCCGCCUAUUCAGUCUUGACGUGGAGGUCUCCAUAUUUUUCUUUUGGAAGAUACCCAUCAAAGGUGUGACAUAGAGCAGCAUCCGUUUCAAUUCAAGCUCCGAUUCAAGUUCAUCUUCCACUUCUUCGGCUGCGCUCUUGUCCGGUAAUUUAUUGUAGGAAAAAGACGACAUAUUGCGUUCAGUUGUGGCAGUCUGUCCGUCCAUCGAGGGGUCAGCUGCAUGACCGACAAUAAGAAUUAACAGUAGACUACAUGCAGUUUGUGUGCGAAGGAACUUGAUCAUUUUGUUUGCCUUCCGACUUAACUGUAAUAUGCAAACGUUUUAGAAGCAGGAAGGGAGACGGUCAGCCUGCAUUUGACGCUGGAUGAAAAUUAACUGACUGAAGCUGUGUGUCUGUGAAUGUUCUUCACUCCCAUAGAAGUAUAAUGUUAACGUUAGACUGGACAUCCUGCCGGAAGCUCCUCCUCUUGCUUGAACACGCUGCGACCCAGCAGGCAAAAGAUUCUUUAAAUCAAUUGUUUUUCUUCGCGUGUAACACAAAUCUAACGGUACAAGAUGUUGGUUUAAAUACAUUGUACACUUCUUUAGUUAAUCCGCAUAUGAACCCACGAAGAGAUGCUGAAUUUUUUUGUAACCAGCGCACCCUGCGGAUGCAUGCAUGCAAAAGAUAAAUUUGUGGAUUUCCUUGACUACAUUAACGAUUUAUUGGCCAUGACCUUGUGGAAGUACAUCGCCAUCGAUAUGUACCGUUAGUGACGUUAAGAAUAGUGCCACGAGAAAAUAUAGACAUCAUGAAUUGUAUCUUUACACAUAAAAUGACAGGAAUGUGCCAACUCUAGAUCACGGCAGAAUCAAUGAGACGUGACACAAGUGACAUUUAUUGUACGACAAUAAAUCACGGGAGAGCAGCACUUGUUGGCUUGUCAAUUGCUACAUGUAUCGCCUAGUUGGGCUAUGAAAAUUCGGAGUCAACAGAUCUUGAGCCUGAUGCUUAGGCAAAAUGUUGCUGCCUCUCACAUCCGUCCUGAAAAACAAAACGAGAA